ACGCACGCUGGCGGCGUGCCUCAUACCUGCAAGUCGAGCGGACGGAUGGGAGCUUGCUCCCAGACCGUCAGCGGCGGACGGGUGAGUAACACGUGGGCAACCUGCCUGUAAGACUGGGAUAACUCCGGGAAACCGGGGCUAAUACCGGAUAACUCUUUCCCUCACAUGAGGGAAAGCUGAAAGAUGGCAUCUCGCUAUCACUUACAGAUGGGCCCGCGGCGCAUUAGCUAGUUGGUGAGGUAACGGCUCACCAAGGCGACGAUGCGUAGCCGACCUGAGAGGGUGAUCGGCCACACUGGGACUGAGACACGGCCCAGACUCCUACGGGAGGCAGCAGUAGGGAAUCUUCCGCAAUGGACGAAAGUCUGACGGAGCAACGCCGCGUGAGUGAUGAAGGUUUUCGGAUCGUAAAACUCUGUUGUCAGGGAAGAACAAGUACCGGAGUAACUGCCGGUACCUUGACGGUACCUGAACAGAAAGCCACGGCUAACUACGUG
rnacentral:rRNA from 1 species